AGUGGGGUGGCUGAGAUUAAUAAGUAGGCGAUAGGCUGUAAAUCUAUUAAGGGAUGUUGACGUUGUCCCCCCACUA
rnacentral:tRNA from 1 species